CACACACACACACACACACUCACACACACACACACUGCCUUCAGCCUCGUUUUAUAAUGUUAUAGUGCUAUUUUUAUUUAAAAUUCUCAUCUGAAACUAAAUCUUCUCUAAUAUUUGUCUUUUAUUUACAAUAUCUUUUUUGUUUAUCAUGUCAGUUCAGAGAGGAGUUUUUCUUCAUUUCCAUAGAGGCUCCACUUUGCAUUAUCAGCCCAUGCUUCAGUGCUCUGCUAGUGUUUAUAGUCCUGUGAGUUUAACACUUCAUGACUGAGAGCUGCUGCCCCACAAACUUCACCCACAGCAACCAUGACUUUGGUCUCCAUCUUCAUCUGGACACUGACCCUCUGGACUCAAGGAUCCAGUGGUCAGGUGACUGUUACUCAGACUCCUGCAGUGAAAACUGUUUCUCCAGGAGACUCAGUUACCAUCAGCUGUAGAACCAGCCCUGCGGUGUUCAUUGAUAGUAGUUUGCGUACUUAUCUGUCCUGGCUUCAGCAAAAACCUGGAGCUCCUAAACUCCUGAUCUACUAUGCUAACAGUAGACAGCCAGGUAUUCCGGCUCGUUUCAGUGGCAGUGGAUCUGGAUCUGACUUCACUCUGACCAUCAGUAAUGUCCAGACUGAAGAUGCAGGAGAUUAUUACUGUCUGAGUCGUCAUGACAUCAGUGGCACAGUGUUCUCACAGUGUUUAGUAGGUGUACAAAAAGCUCCCUCAGUCAGCUGCACAGAGACUGCACUGCUGCAGCUGGACUCUACUGCAGGUGCUGAGGGGGAGGAUGGACACACACAAUAACACACUCUGUGGAAAUCAGGACUUUAGAUGGAAUUUGUUCUUCUUUUCAUUAGACUGUAAAUGCUUUGUGAUUUUAGGGAUUUAUUUCCUGAUCUCCACAGGUCUGGAACUAGCUGUAGAGUUCAGCUAGAGUCUCAUUUAUUAUAAAGUUUAUUAUAAGGAUCUGGGCAGAUUAUGAAAUGGAUGUUUCUCUCAGUCCUGAGAAAGAGGGAGUCCCUGAAGAAAUCCUUCAACAAACUCAGACUCAUCAGUUUCAUUAGGAGAUCAUAUUCAGAGGUGAGUACUACAUAGUUAUAAGUACAUCUGAUAAAUUUAUAAUGGAAUUGUUGUCUGUCUAA